rnacentral:rRNA from 1 species
UUCGCAAUGCCCGAAAGGGUGACGAAGCGACGCCGCGGGGGUGAAGAAGGCCUUCGGGUUGUAAAGCCCUGUCAGGAGUUAUGAAAUGUAGGUGCGAUAAUACCGUGCCUAUUUGACAAAGGCUCCAAAGGAAGCCACGGCCAACUCUGUGCCAGCAGCCGCGGUAAUACAGAGGUGGCAAGCGUUGUUCGGAAUUAUUGGGCGUAAAGAGCACGUAGGUGGAUUUGUAAGUCAGGUGUGAAAGCCUUCUGUUCAACGGAAGAAUUGCAUCUGAAACUACAAACCUUGAGUGUAGGAGGGGAGAAUGGAACUUCUGGUGGAGCGGUGAAAUGCGUAGAUAUCAGAAGGAACGCCGGCGGCGAAAGCGAUUCUCUGGCCUAUUACUGACACUGAGUGUGCGAAAGCUAGGGGAGCAAACGGGAUUAGAUACCCCGGUAGUCCUAGCCGUAAACGAUGGGCACUAAGUAGAGGGGUUUU